GAAUGCCAUCUCUAGGAUGCCAAUGGGCUGUGUCUACAGUACUAUGUAGGAAAGUGCUGCAAGAGAAAUCAUAAACACCUCUAAAACACAUGUAUACUGGUGGUGUUAGUCAACUUAUAUCACUGUCUGUGAAGACGAUGCAGCAAAUUCAAUGAAAGUUGUAUACAUCAUGGAAAAGUUUGAAUUGCAUGAAGAAAAGAAGCUGACGGAAGUUCUUUCUGUCACCUCUCUGAAGACCUGGUUCAUAUCUGCAGCUGCAACUCUAUCCCUGAACUCAUCUUUGAAACUACCCAGAGAUAGACUGUCAAGAGCUUCAGAGCUUUACAACAGGAUCUUCCAAGUGCCCUGAGAGGUCAUGAUGGAGCCAAUAGAAAUAAAUCAUACAAAACAAAGCCAGAACCUGGUGGGAGGGAUGCUUACAAAACAACAUAAACGAGAAGUUGUCUGAAAAAAAAUUGUAUGGAAGGAAGAAGAGAUGAGAUAAGGGAAAUGAACUCAUAAUAGCCCCAGUUAAAAUACUUACAGUAAAAUAUCAUUAGUACUACUUGAUGUUGGUGAAAGGCUCUAGACUCAAGUCAGAAGGCCCAAUUUGUUGCUGUGAUUUCUUGAACAAAUUAUGUAAUUGUGUUGAGAUUCAGUUUUCUUUUCUAUCAUUGGGUAUUAAUAACUUCUAUGUGAUGUCAGAGUUAUGAUGUGAAGUUAAAAUAACUAAUAAAUGGGUAAACCCU
rnacentral:lncRNA from 1 species